rnacentral:rRNA from 1 species
GACGAACGCUGGCGGCGUGCCUAAUACAUGCAAGUAGGACGCAGUUGCGAACGGGUGAGUAACGCGUAGGUAACUACCUAUUAGAGGGGGAGAACUAUUGGAAACGAUAGCUAAUACCGCAUACUAGUAGAUGGACCUGCGUUGUAUUAGCUAGUAGGUAGGGUAAUGGCCUACCUAGGCAACGAUACAUAGCCGACCUGAGAGGGUGAUCGGCCACACUGGUCUUGAGACACGACCCAGACUCCUACGGGCGGCAGCAGUAGGGAUUCUUCGGCAAUGGGAGGAACCCUGACCGAGCAACGCGGCGGGAGUGAAGAAGGUUUUCGGAUCGUAAAGCUCUGUUGUUAAGGAAGCGGUACUUAACCAGAAAGGGACGGCUAACUACGUGCCAGCCGCCGCGGUAAUUC